AGGGUUAUUGGUGAUCAGAGAGGCUGAGUGAAGGGUUAUUGGUGAUCAGAGAGGUUGAGUGAAGGGUUAUUGGUGAUCAGAGAGGCUGAGUGAAGGGUUAUUGGUGAUCAGAGAGGCUGAGUGAAGGGUUACUGGUGAUCAGAGAGGCUGAGUGAAGGGUUACUGGUGAUCAGAGAGGCUGAGUGAAGGGUUAUUGGUGAUCAGAGAGGUUGAGUGAAGGGUUAUUGGUGAUCAGAGAGGCUGAGUGAAGGGUUACUGGUGAUCAGAGAGGCUGAGUGAAGGGUUAUUGGUGAUCAGAGAGGCUGAGCCAGACAGGGCUACCGGUCUUUAGCAACUGUUCUCAGUAACAGGGACAGGGCUGGGGUCAGGGCUACUAACUGUUCUCAGUAACAGGGC